rnacentral:tRNA from 1 species
GUGGCUGUAGCUCAACCGGUUAGAGCGCCAGACUGUGGCUCUGGAGGUCGGGGGUUCGAGUCCCCUCAGCCACCCCA